UACGAAGGGGGCUAGCGUUGCUCGGAAUCACUGGGCGUAAAGCGCACGUAGGCGGACUCUUAAGUCGGUGGUGAAAUCCUGGAGCUCAACUCCAGAACUGCCUUCGAUACUGAGAGUCUCGAGUCCGAGAGAGGUGAGUGGAACUGCGAGUGUAGAGGUGAAAUUCGUAGAUAUUCGCAAGAACACCAGUGGCGAAGGCGGCUCACUGGCUCGGUACCGACGCUGAGGUGCGAAAGCGUGGGGAGCAAACAGGGGUAGUAA
rnacentral:rRNA from 1 species